CAAGAGCGUAUAUUAAAGUUGUUGCAGUUAAAAAGCUCGUAGUUGGAUUUCUGGUACAAUGCGCCUGGCCCGCGACCGUUAGGUCUGUGAGUGCCGGUGCGCGUUUGCCAUCCUUCUAGAAAACGUUUCUACCCUUCACUGGGCCGGACUCGCGAUCUAGAUCUUUUACUUUGAAAAAAUUAGAGUGUUUAAAGCAGGCUUUUGCUGUGAAUACAUUAGCAUGGAAUAAUAAUCUAGGACUUCGGUUCUAUUUUGUUGGUUUCUAGUACUGAAGUAAUGAUUGAUAGGGAUAGUUGGGGGUGCUAGUAUUGGCCGGCCAGAGGUGAAAUUCUUGGAUUCGGUCAAGACUAACUUAUGCGAAAGCAUUCACCAAGGAUGUCUUCGUUAA
rnacentral:rRNA from 1 species